rnacentral:misc_RNA from 1 species
GAUGAAGAACGUAGCGAAGUGCGAUAAGUAAUGUGAAUUGCAGAAUUCCGUGAAUCAUCGAAUUUUUGAACGCAAAUUGCACUCUCUGGUAUUCCGGAGAGUAUGCCUGUUUGAGGGUCAGUCAAAUAAAAAUCGAUGUUGUUGUCACCGUGAUAACGCGUCGGAAUUGAGUCGUCUUACCUUCGGUUAAGUGAUUUAAAAUUUUUACGCGAAUUCGAAACGUAUUUAACGUUUAUGGUACGUUUGCGAUAUUCCAAUAUUUUAUUAGAUGCGGUCAUUGCUAUGAUUCGCGCCUAUAAUUUUUCAUUUCUUGACCUCAAAUCAGGUAAGAGUACCCGCUGAACUUAAGCAUAUCAAUAAGCGGAGGA